rnacentral:rRNA from 1 species
UGGGGAAUAUUGCACAAUGGGCGCAAGCCUGAUGCAGCCAUGCCGCGUGUAUGAAGAAGGCCUUCGGGCUGUAAAGUACUUUCAGUCGGGAGGAAGGUGGUAAGGUUAAUAACCUUAUCAAUUGACGUUACCGACAGAAGAAGCACCGGCUAACUCCGUGCCAGCAGCCGCGGUAAUACGGAGGGUGCAAGCGUUAAUCGGAAUUACUGGGCGUAAAGCGCACGCAGGCGGUUGAUUGAGUCAGAUGUGAAAUCCCCGGGCUUAACCCGGGAAUUGCAUCUGAUACUGGUCAGCUAGAGUCUUGUAGAGGGGGGUAGAAUUCCAUGUGUAGCGGUGAAAUGCGUAGAGAUGUGGAGGAAUACCGGUGGCGAAGGCGGCCCCCUGGACAAAGACUGACGCUCAGGUGCGAAAGCGUGGGGAGCAAACAGG